rnacentral:sRNA from 1 species
AAUUUCUGCUUCUGCUGUGAGGCUGUCUCUUUCUCCUCCCACUAGAAGGAAUUGUUCUCUCUUAUGUUUCUCUCAUAGCACUUGGUUCAUACCUUCAUCGUGCCACUAGGAUGAUACAGCAAUUGAGAUCUGAAACUAGACAAUGUCCUGUUGGACCACGAGGGUCACUGUAAACUGGCAGACUUCGGAAUGUGCAAGGAGGGGAUUUGCAAUGGUGUCACCACGGCCACAUUCUGUGGCACGCCAGACUAUAUCGCUCCAGAGAUCCUCCAGGAAAUGCUGUACGGGCCUGCAGUAGACUGGUGGGCAAUGGGCGUGUUGCUCUAUGAGAUGCUCUGUGGUCACGCGCCUUUUGAGGCAGAGAACGAAGAUGACCUCUUUGAGGCCAUACUGAAUGAUGAGGUGGUCUACCCUACCUGGCUCCAUGAAGAUGCCACAGGGAUCCUAAAAUCUUUCAUGACCAAGAACCCCACCAUGCGCUUGGGCAGCCUGACUCAGGGAGGCGAGCAUGCCAUCUUGAGACAUCCUUUUUUUAAGGAAAUCGACUGGGCCCAGCU